GAUCCUGGCUCAAGACGAACGCUGGCGGCGCGCCUAACACAUGCAAGUCGAACGAGAGAGAGGGAGCUUGCUUCCUCAAUCGAGUGGCGAACGGGUGAGUAACGCGUUAGGAACCUGCCUCAAAGAGGGGGACAACAGUUGGAAACGACUGCUAAUACCGCAUAAGCCCACAGCUCGGCAUCGAGCAGAGGGAAAAGGAGCAAUCCGCUUUGAGAUGGCCUCGCGUCCGAUUAG
rnacentral:rRNA from 1 species